ensembl:lncRNA
AGGCAAGGCAAGGCUCCUCCAACUUGGACAUGUACCCAACUCUAGGUAAACAUUUACUCUGAUUUUAUGUGUGUGGAUGUGUGUGUAUGAGACAGAGAGAGACAGUGAUAGGGAGGGCUAUUUAAACAUGACAAAGACUUGCGUAAACACUGACAAGAUAAGUUUGCAUGGGUGUGGCAAACUUUGAUAGUUUCACCCGCAUCGAGGUGGGCCUGUGAGCUUUUGUGGGUGCCCAUGGAAACAGAGUAAACACAAAAGCAGGUGUCUGGUCAGUUUAAUUCACUAAGAGCUCAAAUAAAAGACAUGAUGGAAUUUGAUAGGUGUGGUAUGUUUUCCCCCUUCACCUGUAAAGGAACAGGACUGAUGCCAAGCUAGCUGAUUGACCAAAAGUAGUCUACAGACCAGUUGUACCACAUAUUUUUGGCACAGCCCCAUCGGAAAACAGACACUCUCUGCAGGAAACUACAGCAUACAGGAAACAACUGUGACUGGUGGCUGCAGGCACAUGUUUCGUUUGCUAGGCUGAAGGCACACACUGCUCAAACCAUAUGGCAGAGAACACCAUCUAGUGGUGUAGUAUGGAAACUGAGAGCCAGUGUCACAUGAACGGAAGACGUGCCAGUGGCCCUGGGACCUCAGGUGGUGGGUCG